rnacentral:rRNA from 1 species
UACGUAGGGUGCGAGCGUUGUCCUGAAUUAUUGGGCGUAAAGAGCUCGUAGGCGGCUUGUCGCGUCGGAUGUGAAAGCCCGGGGCUUAACUCCGGGUCUGCAUUCGAUACGGGCAGGCUAGAGUUCGGUAGGGGAGAUCGGAAUUCCUGGUGUAGCGGUGAAAUGCGCAGAUAUCAGGAGGAACACCGGUGGCGAAGGCGGAUCUCUGGGCCAUUACUGACGCUGAGGAGCGAAAGCGUGGGGAGCGAACAGG